rnacentral:sRNA from 1 species
AUAGACUAGAAUGAUUUAUUGAGAGUAA